GACGAACGCUGGCGGCGUGCUUAACACAUGCAAGUCGAACGGUGAAGGGGAGCUUGCUCCCUGGAUCAGUGGCGAACGGGUGAGUAACACGUGGGCAACCUGCCCCUGACUUCGGGAUAACGCCUCGAAAGAGGUGCUAAUACCGGAUAUGUACUCUGAGGGCACCCUCGGGGUUGGCAAGUUUUUCGGUCAGGGAUGGGCCCGCGGCCCAUCAGCUUGGUGGUGAGGUAGUGGCUCACCAAGGCGACGACGGGUAGCCGGCCUGAGAGGGCGACCGGCCACACUGGGACUGAGACACGGCCCAGACUCCUACGGGAGGCAGCAGUGGGGAAUAUUGCGCAAUGGGCGAAAGCCUGACGCAGCAACGCCGCGUGAGGGAUGAAGGCCUUCGGGUUGUAAACCUCUUUCAGCAGGGAAGAAGCGAAAGUGACGGUACCUGCAGAAGAAGCACCGGCUAACUACGUGCCAGCCGCCGCGGUAA
rnacentral:rRNA from 1 species